rnacentral:rRNA from 1 species
ACAAUUUAAACCAUUUGCAGUUGCAAUCACGCUGAAAAACUUAAUAGUUACAACUUUCAACAACGGAUCUCUUGGUUCUGGCAUCGAUGAAGAACGCAGCGAAAUGCGAUAAGUAGUGUGAAUUGCAGAAUUCAGUGAAUCAUCGAAUCUUUGAACGCACAUUGCGCCCCUUGGUAUUCCAUGGGGCAUGCCUGUUCGAGCGUCAUUUGUACCUUCAAGCUCUGCUUGGUGUUGGGUGUUUGUCUCGCCUCUGCGUGUAGACUCGCCUCAAAACAAUUGGCAGCCGGCGUAUUGAUUUCGGAGCGCAGUACAUCUCGCGCUUUGCACUCAUAACGACGACUCCAAAAGUACAUUUUUACACUCUUGACCUCGGAUCAGGUAGGGAU